GUUGUACUUUCCAGCUCUGAUUGGUUAUAUUUUCUGCUUCCUUGCUGAAGUUUUCAAGCUGCUCAUCCACUCUUCUCUCAAGUAUGGUGGUCAUCUUCAUGACUAUUGCUUUGAACUCUUGAUCAGGGCAAGACUUGCUUUGGAGUGGUGCUGGUUCUGGACCGGGUUGACCACAAGGCAUGGCAGGUUAAUAGUCGCUAUACAGGAACACCUGCAACGAUGUUGUGAUUGUCCACAAAGAAGCCCAAACAUAGCAAAUUAUGUGCAUUAAGAGAGUCAGUAAGGAACUGGAUACAAAAUAAACUUGCAAAAAUCAAUAGCACUUACCUAUACCAGUAAUAAUCACCAAAACAAUAUAAUAGAAGGUAAGUUCUGAACUUGAUGGAGGUAUUUUGAAAAGACCUGAGUGAAAAACUCUAACACUUUGAAAAAUAGGGUGGCUUAAUAUUAUAAAUUUGUUAAUUUUCCCUUAAAUAACUUUAAAAUUCUAUGUAUUUCUCUUGAUGUAUUUAGUUCUCAAACUGUUGAUGGCUUUCUACUUAAUUUUUUUUUAAUGUUUAUUUUUGAGAGAGAUCAUGAGUUGGGGAGACACAGAAUCUGAAGCACCCUCCACGCUCUCAGCUGUCAUCACAGAGCUGGAUGCGCGGCUCAAACCUAUGAACUCUGAGUGAGAUCAUGACCUGAGCCGAAGUCGGACACUUAACUGACUGAGACACCCAGGUGCCCCUUUCUACUUACAGUUUUUGAUUUCUGGUCUAAUUUCACUAUAUCAGAAAGCAUACGCUGAACAAUUUUAACCUUUAGAAAUUGAGACUUGCAUUAUGUGAAGGCUAUGGUCUAAUUUCAGAAAUGAUCUAGGUGCACCUACAAGAAUGUGCAGUUCACAAUUGUAUUUCACAUAGGUUUCAUUUGUUAAAAAUUACUUAGAGAGGUUAAUGUCUAUUAAUAUCACUGUAGAUUUGUCUCUAUUUUUUAUCAAUUUUUGCUUUAUAUAUUUUGAGCACAUAGUAUUAGUACAUGCAUCAUUAUAACUUCUUGGUGGAUUAUCUGAGUAUAUUAUCUUCCUGAUUAUAUUUUCCUGGUAUAUUAUCAUUAAGAAGGUCUGUUUGGGGGCGCCUAGGUGGUUCAGUUGAUUAAGCAGGUAACUCUUGAUUUCAGCUCCGGUCAUGAUCUCAUGGUUCCUGGGCUUGAGCCCCACGUCGGGCUCUCCACUGACAGCAUGGAGCCUGCUUGGGAUUCUCUCUCUCCCUGCUCCUAUCCUGCACGCAUGCACAUGUGCUCUCUCCCUCUCUUUCGAAAUAAACUAAAAAAAAGCUUGUGUAAUUACAAUAACGAAAGGCAAAAGAGGCUUUGAGAAAAGAAGCAUUUUUUUAACGUUGUUUAAAUUCCAGUCCGUUGGCAUACAGUAUCAUAUUGGUUUCAAGUGUUCAGUAUAGUGCUCAUCCCAACAAGUGCACUCCUUGAUCCCCAUCUCCCACCACCCCCUCCCAUCUGGUAACUAUCUGUUCUCCAUAGUUAUGAGUCUGUUUCUUGGUUUGCCUCUCUUUUGGGUUAGUGUUUGGUUUAUUUUGGGGGUGGAGGAGAAAUGGUAAAUACUCCCCUUUUUUACUUUCAAACAUUAAGUUCUUUAUAAUAUGGCACUUGUACUCAACAUAAAAGUUUUAUUGUUUAAAUAUGGUGAGACAAACCUUGGUUUUUAGUAUAUUUAAUCUUUUUUUUCCCUACAGGACCCGCCUAUUUUACUGCCUCCUUUUGGAUUUAUCAAGUAUUUUUUUAAAUUAAAAAAGGUUUAUUUUUGAGAGAGAGGGAGAGCAUACGAGUGGGGGAGGAGAGGAGGAAGAGGGAUUAGAGGAUCCAAAGUGAGCUCUGAGCUGACAGCCCUGU